GGAGAGAUGGCAGAGUGGUCGAUUGCGCUCUUGGAAAGGUAGUAACUGGGUAACUGGUUCCGGGGUUCGAAUCCCCGUCUCUCCG
rnacentral:tRNA from 1 species